GGAAAGAGGGAAAUAAGAAAGAGAAAAGAAGAAGUAACUGAGGAAAAGCUGCCAGCCAUGAAGAAAACAGCUGAUGAAAGGGGCUAAAGCUAGCUUCAUUUCUUGCAGGUCUAGUUCUGAGUCUAGGGACAGAAGUUUUAGCUUUGGCUGGACACCCAUAGCCCUCUGUGACCUGUCAGUAUUUUUAACUUCACGAUGACUCCUAAGUGGACUGCUGUCCACUGGCCACAACUUACUGAAACUUUCUCCAUAUUCAGCAUUUAUUAAGGACUGGAGGUUCCAAGAUGGAGUCUCGCUCUGUCACCAGGCUGGACUGCAGUGGCGUGCUCUCGGCUCACUGCAACCUCUUCCUCCCGGGUUCAAGCAAUUCUCCUGCCUCAGCCUCCCGAGUAGCUGAGAUUACAGGCGCCUGCCACCACACCCAGCUAAUUUUUGUAUUUUUAAUAGAGACGGGGUUUCACCAUGUUGGCCAGGAUGGUCUUGAUCUCUUGACCUCGUGGAUCCACCCGCCUCAGCCUCCCAAAGUGCUGGGAUUACAAGUGUGAGCCACUGCACCCGGCCGGAUUUCAAAUUCUUAAGCAAUGUGCCACACAGGCACCUGAGUCCCAGAUCGCCACCUGGUCACGCUGCGUGUGACACUGUCAUGCCUUCUGUGAUCUGCAUGCACAAGUUAACUUAUUUUUCAAUAGCAGGGCUGUGCUUUUCAGGUGGAACUGACAUUGCUGGUGCACCUGUGAGGCCCUGGCUCUAUGUGAAAUUGUUUUUCUCACGUGAUACUUUUUCACCUUUCCCUACC
rnacentral:lncRNA from 10 species